GCCACCGUAGCUCAGGGGGAGAGCACUCGAUUCGUAAUCGAGCGGUCGUCGGUUCGAAUCCGACCGGUGGCU
rnacentral:tRNA from 1 species